GGAGCGUGUUGCCUAUAAGGAAGAUAGACCCACGAGUCACAUUGUAUGAUGAGGAUGAUGAUGACAUACGGAGGAGAGAGAGUGUAUGAGAGAGGAGAGUGAGUCACUUGUGUUGAUGAUGAUGAUGAUGAUGACGGAGAAGAGCGUAGUGUAUGAGAGGAGAGAGGUGAGGUCACAUUGUGUGUGAUGAGUGAUGAGUGAUGACGAGGAAGAGAGCGGUGUAAUGGAGAGAGAGAGAGUGAGUCACAUUGUGUGUGAUGAUGAGAUGAUGAUGACGGAAGAGAGCGAGUGUAUGGAGAGGAGAGAGAGUGAGUCACAUGUGUGUGAUGAUGAUGAUGAUGACGGAGGAGGAGAGUGAGUCACAUUGUGUGAUGUGAUGACGGAAAGAGCGAGUGUAUGAGAGGAGAGAGAGUGAGUCACAUUGUUGUGAUGAUGAUGAUGAUGAUGACGAGGAGAGAGAGUGAGUCACAUUGUGUGAUGAUGAUGAACGGAAGAGAGCGAGUGUAAUGAGAGGAGAGAGAGUGAGUCACAUUGUGUGUAUGAUGAUGAUGAUGACGGAAGAGAGAGAGUGUACACUUGUGUGAUGAUGAUGACGGAAGAGAGCGAGUGUAUGAAGAGGAGAGAGUGAGUCACAUUGUGUGUGAUGGAUGAUGACGGAGACGGAAGAGAGAGAGUGAGUCACAUUUGUGUGAUGAUGAUGACGGAAGAGAGCGAGUGUAUGAGAGGAGAGAGAGUGAGUCACAUUGUGGUGUGAUGAUGAUGAUGAUGACGGAAGAGAGAGAGUGAGUCAGUGUGUGAUGAUGAUGAUGAUGACGGAGGAGAGAGAGUGAGUCACAUUGUUGUGAAUGAAUGAUGAUGACGGAAGAGAGCGAGUGUAUGAGAGGAGAGAGAGUGAGUCACAUUGUGUGUGAUGAUGAUGAUGAUGACGGAAGAGAGAGAGUGAGUCACUUGUGUGUGAUGAUGAUGAUGAUGAGCGGAAGAGAGAGAGUGAGUCACAUUUGUGGGUGUGAUGAUGAUGAUGACGGAAGAAGAGAGUGUGUUACCUAAGUUGUUACCAUUUAUAUAAUGUAUGUACAUGUAAAUUUAUAGGUCUAUAUAAUAUAUAUGUACAAAGUGAUACAUGUUUAAUGUGUGUUCAGUGUGUGUUUGGUGUGUGUGUGUGUGCGAGUCCGAGAGAGAGAGUGUGUGAGAGAGAGAGUCGGGAUGUGUAUGAGAGGAGAUGCUGAAGAGGUGGAGAGUACAGAGAGGAGAGAGCGCGUGUGAGAGGAGA
rnacentral:lncRNA from 1 species